AAAACUUAGAUAAAUUCUUCAAACAAAACUGUAAAAAAAAUAUGAUUCAUACCUUUUCAAGAGUAUAUGAUUCCUUAUCUUCAGUAUCAAUUGCUCCUUCAGAUCUACACUCUGCUCUACAAAUUAAAUGAAGCAAGGCAUAAACAGGUAGAACAUAUUCACCACAAAUGUACUUAAUCACAAAAGCUUCAAAUAAGCUCCCGCCAUAGAGUUUUUUGUGUUCUUUUCUGAGAAAAGAUAGCGUGCUACUGCUUCAUUCAAUAAGUAGAUAAACUAAGCUACAAGGCUGAGGCAGCUAGGCCUCGUCAGUUACAAAGUGCAAACAAAAACAAAAACAAAAGCUACAUAGGGAACAAAAACAUAAGUUCGUUAUGUAGUUGCUGUGAAUAAAAACAUGUCCAAUGCGCUGCCAGCCAUAUUUAUCUACAACUAGGUUUUCGAGAAAAAACUGUAAGACUGAAAAACCAGAACUAAUCGUUGCUUUGAUUCGAUUUGGCUCAAUUUUUAUCUCUAGUGACCCGAUUUUAGGCUAUAGUUCAUAAAAUGUUAGUAAUUUCGGUUUGAACGAACAGAUCAUUUCUAAUUUAGGUGAGUCGGCAGAAUCAGGAAUACGGAAACAAAAAUUAAUUCCAACUGUCUCGUGCUUCCUCUUGUUAGGAUAUUUGUUGCCAUUUAUGUCCUCAAUGCACCUAAUAACAUUAAUGGAGCAAACCUAGGCAAGUCCUCGAAAAUUAAGGAAUCAUCUCAAAUGUUGAUAAUCAUGACACACAUUAAAAUUAUUGUGAUUAAUGCUGUUGCUCUGAAAAGGAACUAUGAACACCACAAAUGUCUCUAAAAAUCCAUUUAAGAGGAUGGAAUUGAAAGAGCUAAAUUUUGCUACUUACUGAAGGAAUUUACUGAACAAGGCCAGAGAGAAAGCAACAGUUGUUAAGGCUGCGUUUGGUUCGGGUGUAAGUAAAAACUGUUUAUUUUAUGGAUAGUUACAAGUUUAGGUAAAACUAGGAACUAGACCAAUUUUGUAUUUAAAUGAAAAUUGAAUUGUUUUUAUGAAUAAGGUAAAUAGUGUUUGGAUGGUUAGAUUGGAAAAAAAAAAAAAAGAGUUAUAAUUUUAAAUUAAAAUUAUUUUAUCUAAUUAAUUAACAUCAAAAUAUUACUUAAAAAUAAUUUAAUAAAUUAAUAAAUUUAUUAGCUAUGAAUAUUGUAUAAGAUAAUAAAAAUAUAUUAAUUAAUUAAUUAUAAAAAUACUUUAACUUUUUAUUUACUAAGUAAAUUAUUUUAGCUUGAUAACUAGCUAAAAAAUUAAUUAGACUAAUAAAAAUAUUAAUAGUUGAUCAAUAUAAAUAUUAGUUUAUGUAUAAAUACAUUAAAUAAUUAAUAAUUAAUUAUAAUUAAUUAAUUAAUUAUUUUAUUAUUUAAAUAAUAAAUAAUAAUUUAAAUAUAUUAAUUAGAUUAAUUAAUGAUCUAAUACUAUAAUUAAAUUAAAUUUAGAUUUUAAUUAACCUUGUUCCCACCUGAGAGCAAGUUUGUUGUAGGAAAAAUGGUGAAACAGCAGUUGCAGCCUUAUACCAGCUUAUUUCGGAAAUCCGAAAACUCCUGUUCUCGAUUACCAAACACAAUGUUUGGGAACAAAAAGGAGAAUAAGGACUUAUUCCCCCUUUAUUCCCGGACUAAACACUGCCAAAAGAGUACAAUACAUACAAAAUUAUAGAGAUUAAUUUAAGUGUUUAAGUAAACAAUGAACCAACAAUUAUGAUUAUAUAAAUUUAAUUGUUGGAAGAAAGAUAUACACUACAAUAAGGGCUUGUUUGGUUCAAGGGUGGAAUUGAAAUGGAUAAUGGAAUGGAAAUGAAUUGGAAUGGUAAUUGGAAUGGCCAACUCCUCCAAGAUGUUUGGUUUAUUUGUGGAUUGGGAAUUGGAAUGAGUUAUUCACAUUUGAUUGUUUGGUUCGUAUAAACUAAAAAAAUUAUAGAAUACUAUAAUACUAAUUUUACUCUCAAAUAUAAAUUUAUAUUAUUUAAAAUUUAUGAAAAAUAUAAUACUAUUCUCUAAUAAGUUUUCCAAAAAAAAAAUUAAAUUUAUUUUUAAAAACUUUUAUUGAUGUGGGUUAGGGAUAGAGUUUUGAGAGAUGAUAGGUUUUUUUUUUUUUGUUUGAUGAGAAAGGGGUGAUGAGAAGGAGGGUGAGAUGGUGACAUGGGCUUCGAGAACCUAGUGGGCUUUCGAAAUGAAAUCUCAAUCCGGACUAGAAGACCGGAAUCAAGUUGAAGGCUAAUGGGUCAUUCCCAUUCCAGUCCGGAAUAGGAAUCCCAAAUCGAUUCAUGCGAACCAAACAAAAUUAACCGGAUUUGAUCAAACCGAUUCCCAUUCCAUACCCAAAAUGGAUGAACCAAACAAUCCCUAAGGCUGCGUUUGGUUGGAGAACUAAAUUUUGGAGAACAACUUUUGUUGUUCCCGAGAACAGAGAAUAUUCCGGUACAAGAUAGAACAAUUGUAAAUUUGUGUUUGGAUGCAUUCGAGGAUAUUCUAGAGGAUAUCCUUAAUAGUGUUUGGAUAAAAAGUCUAGAACAACGUCUAAAUAUAUUUUUAAAAAUAAAAUAAUUAAUUUAUAUUAGUAUAUUUUAUAUAAAAUUAUUUAUAAAAUUAUUUCAUAUAGUAAUUUAUAAUAUAAUAUUUUAUGUAAGAAUCUAAUUUAAAAUAAUAUAUAUUAUUUUAUUAUAUAUAAUAAUUUAUUUUAUGUAAUAAUUUAUUUUCUAUAAUUUAUUCAUAAUAUAUUAAUGAAUAAAGUAUAAUACUAACAAUAUCCCUAUAUUUUUAAUUAAUAAUUAGUAUAAAUUUUAAUACAAAUAAAAAAUAUAUAUAUAAUUAAAUAUUAAAAUAUAAAUGAUAAAACUUAAUAAAAUAAAAUAUAUAUCAAAUUUAAUUAAUUUAUAUUAUAUAAUAAAAUUUAAGUAUAAAUAUAUUAUCAUAAAAAUAAUAUUUAUAUUAAUAUAUUUAUUUAUUAAAUUUGAGUAUUCAUUUAAUUUAUUUGAAAUUAAUUAAAAUAAAGUAUAAAAAAUUAAAAGGCCAGAAAAAAAAAAGAAAAAAAAGAAAAAAAAAAGCCCAAAUCUCUUGUCCAGCUUGUUUUAGGGAGAACAAGCUUACCGGAUUGUUCCCGGCUUAACGGGUUGUUCCGGGAACAACCCGGUUGUUCCAAAAUGCAUUGUGUUUGGAGGGAUAUCCCGUCUUGUUCUAGGAUAUCCCUCCAAUCAAACGCAGCCUUACAGAGUAAUUCUAGUUUUACUGUUUGUUCCAGUUCUAUCAAACCAAAUAGUGAACUUAUAACAGCACUUAAACUCUAGUUUUAUUAUACCAGUUACUAGUACUUACGAUCGAAAACAAACAUACGCUUAAUAUGGCCGCUCUUUAUUAAUGAAACUUGGCCAUAUUCAAUCAAUAUAUCCAAUAUUUGUAUCACCUGGGCACUUAGCUCUUCUUCGGGCAUUAGGUCCCAAGUUCAAUUCAUGCUUUGUGAGUAGAAAGAUGUGCGCGUACUGCAUAGGACCAUCUCAGAAAGAGAAAGGAAAAAAAACGGGUAAAUUGCAUUGUUACCCCUUAACUUUUGGCGAAGUUUUACUUUACCCCUCGAACUUCUAAAAUGGACAUCUAACUUCCUAAACUAUAAUAUUUCGUUCAUGUUACCCCUUUCGUCAGUUUUCCGUCAAGCUCCGUUAACCGGAAACUGACGGAAGGGGUAAAACGAAUGAAAUAUUAAAGUUUAGGGUGCUAGAUGUCUAUUUUAGGAGUCUGGGAGGUUAAGUGAAACUCGUCAAAAGUUCAGGGAGUAACAAUACAAUUUACCCAAAUUUUUACUAUAAAUUAUUUUUAUAUUUUUAUAUUAAAAAUUUUUAAUUGGCUGAAAUGAAGUACAAAAAAUUUAUUUAAGUGUAUUUUAUAGAACAAUACUUCUAAAGAUAAAAGGGACAAACGAGUACUACAGAAAAUUAACUGAGAAUUAAAAUUUCUAUAUCCGAGUGAGGACACCUAUUGUAAAUCAACCAUAUUAGCGAGUACGUUGGGAUAGUAGAGUGUUUGAAUAUCGUAGGUAGUUAGUAUCACUCUUUUUUUAUCUUUAAGCCACUCUAAUUCAUUUCUUUCACUUUUAUUUUAUUACAAUAAAAUGUAGAAUAAAUUAUGGUAUGAUUUAUUUUAGGAUAAAAAAUAUAUAUAAAUUCAAAAUCAAGCAUGAUCACUAACUUGAAAAUUAGUAGUCAAUCCAUAAAAAACAUAUUAUAAUAAAAUAAUUUAUAGUCAAGAGUUCCUUACGGAGUAAAUUGCACUACUACCUCCUGAACUUUUGGCGAGUUUCACUUAACCCCCCAAACUUCUAAAAUAGACAUCUAACACCCUAAACUUUAAUUUCUCAUUCGUUUUACCCCUUCCGUCAGUUUCCGGUUAACGGAGCUUGACGGAAAACUGACGGAAGGGGUAACAUGAACGAAAUAUUAGAGUUUAGGGGGUUAGAUGUCUAUUUUACGAGUUCGAGGGGUAAAAUAAAACUUCGCCAAAAGUUCAAGGGAUAACAAUGCAAUUUACCCGAAAAAAAACAAAAGGAAAAUGGUUUGCUUAUAUUGUUACCUUCGUAACCCCCAAACGAUGAAAAGAGCCAAAUCCUCCACAACUUUGACAAGGGGCCGUCUCGAUCGGUGUAUCGAAUCAACCAAACCCCACGGCUGGAUAACGCCGAAACCGAACCAUCUUCAGGUAUUGCUCUUCUGCAGUCGCUUUCUUUGCUCGAUCAACUAACUUAAACAGCACCCCUCACCACACCACAAAUCAUUUUCCUGCAUCCGGCGCAUCUCCGCA
rnacentral:lncRNA from 1 species